AUGGGCAUGCGUGCCAUUAGUUAGAUGGUGAGGUACCGGCUCACCAUGACAUCGAUGGCUAGGGGUUCUGCAAGGAAGAUCCCCCACACUGGUACUGAGACACGGACCAGACUCCUACGGGAGGCAGCAGUGAGGAAUAUUGGUCAAUGGAGGCAACUCUGAACCAGCCAAGCCGCGUGAAGGAAGACUGUUCUAUGAAUUGUAAACUUCUUUUGUGGUAGAGUAAAUAUAGCUACGUGUAGUUAUUUGCAAGUAUACCAUGAAUAAGCAUCGGCUAACUCCGUGCCAGCAGCCGCGGUAAUACGGAGGAUGCAGGCGUUAUCCGGAUUUAUUAGGUUUAAAGGGUGUCUAGGCUGCCACAUAAAGUCAGGGGUGACAGUCGGUUGCUCAACAAUCGAAUUGCCUUUGAAACUGUGUGGCUCGAAUAUAGAUGAGGUAGGCGGAAUGUGUAGUGUAGCGGUGAAAUGCAUAGAUAUUGCACAGAACACCAAUUGCGAAGGCAGCUUACCAAACUUAUUAUUGACGCUGAAGCACGAAAGCGUGGGUAGCGAACAGGAUUAGAUACCCUGGUAGUCCACGCCGUAAACUAUGCUCACUCGCUGUUGGCAAUACAUGGUCAGCGGCUAAGGGAAACCGAUAAGUGAGCCACCUGGGGAGUACGAUCGCAAGAUUGAAACUCAAAGGAAUUGACGGGGGCCCGCACAAGCGGAGGAACAUGUGGUUUAAUUCGAUGAUACGCGAGGAACCUUACCUGGGCUUAAAUGUAGAGUGCAUUACGUAGAAAUAUGUAUUUCCUUCGGGACUCUUUACAAGGUGCUGCAUGGUUGUCGUCAGCUCGUGCCGUGAGGUGUCGGGUUAAGUCCCAUAACGAGCGCAACCCCUAUUGUUAGUUACCAGCGCGUAAAGGCGGGGACUCUAGCGAAACUGCCGGUGUAAACCGCGAGGAAGGUGGGGAUGACGUCAAAUCAGCACGGGCCCUUAUGUCCAGGGCUACACACGUGUUACAAUGGCCGGUACAGUGGGCAGCCACAUAGCGAUAUGGAGCUAAUCUCAAAAGCCGGUCUCAGUUCGGAUUGGAGUCUGCAACCCGACUCCAUGAAGGUGGAUUCGCUAGUAAUCGCGCAUCAGCCAUGGCGCGGUGAAUACGUUCCCGGGCAUUGUACACACCGCCCGUCAAGCCAUGGAAGUUUGGGGUGCCUGAAGUU
rnacentral:rRNA from 1 species